UUGUUUCACUGUGUCACUCACUCGUUCGUCGUCUCGCAGUCCCAAACGCUAAAUUCGCCGCUUCAAUCUCUCUCGAGGCGCCGAUUCGGUAGAGCCGAGAUCGCCGCUCCUUCAUCGAAUCCCUAAUCUCGCUUCGGCCCCCGGCGGCCGGACCUUGGGCAGCUUAAAGCAUGAUGGUUGUCGAUUCAGUGUCUUCUCCUCGAAGGAGAUCACAGCCUGCAAAUUUGGUUGCAUCCUCAUCUAAGAAACCAACGUCAAGCCUCGAGGAGUCAGAUGGUUGGUCUAUUAUCUUCCAGCGGCACAGGUUCCUAUUGACGAUGCUAGCUCUCUUGGCAUUCCUAUGCACCAUCUAUCUGUACUUUGCUGUUACUUUGGGGCCUACAAAUGCAUGUGCUGGAAUGUCUGGAGCUGAAAAGGAUCUUUGUGAGGCCAAAGCUGCUUCUUUGCACAAUGGCAAACUCAAAUUCUUUUGAUCUGUAACGGAAAUGACCUUGUUGCAUUGGUUUUCAUGGAUGAUUCAUAAUAUUUCAUUGGUCUCAUUAAUGACAAAAGGGCAUUGGAAAUA